rnacentral:rRNA from 1 species
UACGUAGGUGGCAAGCGUUAUCCGGGUUCAUUGGGCGUAAAGGGAACGCAGGCGGUCUUUUAAGUCUGAUGUGAAAGCCUUCGGCUUAACCGGAGUAGUGCAUUGGAAACUGGGAGACUUGAGUGCAGAAGAGGAGAGUGGAACUCCAUGUGUAGCGGUGAAAUGCGUAGAUAUAUGGAAGAACACCAGUGGCGAAAGCGGCUCUCUGGUCUGUAACUGACGCUGAGGUUCGAAAGCGUGGGUAGCAAACAGG